rnacentral:misc_RNA from 1 species
AACAAGUUGAGCUGCCAUGGCUGCACUCAACCCAGCAGCGGCAUUGGCAAUUGCUCCUGCGGUCCCCUCUGGAAACCCUAAUCGGAUCGUGGCAGUCCCCACGUUACUCUUGGUAAGCUCAAGCGCUGCCAUGUAGAGUGCUCUAGCCGGAAUUGUACCCAUCAAGAAAGUCCCAAAUCCUCGAUACAAAGCUCUAAAACCCUCAUGCCUAACGAUCCCAAAAGCGGUCUUCACGC